CGCCUACGGGAGGCAGCAGUGAGGAAUAUUGGUCAAUGGGCGAGAGCCUGAACCAGCCAAGUAGCGUGCAGGACGACGGCCCUAUGGGUUGUAAACUGCUUUUAUACAGGGAUAAAGUCGGGGACGCGUUCCCCGUUUGCAGGUACUGUAUGAAUAAGGACCGGCUAAUUCCGUGCCAGCAGCCGCGGU
rnacentral:rRNA from 1 species